GGCAAGACAGAAUAAAAAUGUUUUUAAUUUUGAACCGUGGUAGUUGCUAUUAAUAACUAGCAGUAUAAACAGUGUCCACAAUUUGGUGGCUGGCCAUAGUUUAAAAUUUUUUUCAAGUUAAUUUCUACAGCAGACGUAUUUUUGAAGUCUACCCACCCCUGAGUUCAACAAUUAUACUUUUAGAGUGUAAAAUUAUAUGCCCUUAAUUAACAACAUGUACAAAGCUACAAAAUUUCAUCUAUACAGAGAUUAAAAACAAUUUUUAAAAUA
rnacentral:lncRNA from 1 species